rnacentral:rRNA from 1 species
AUUGAACGCUGGCGGCGUGCUUUACACAUGCAAGUCGAACGGCAGCGCGGGGUUUCGGCCUGGCGGCGAGUGGCGAACGGGUGAGUAAUACAUCGGAACGUGGUCCUGUAGAGGGGGGAUAGCCCGGCGAAAGCCGGAUUAAUACCGCAUACGAUCUACGGAUGAAAGCGGGGGACCUUUGGGCCUCGCGCUAUAGGGGC